GAGUGGGUAGUCCGCACGAGCGCACCUCACUUUUAGUUGCCAUCAUUAAGUUGGGCACUCUGAAAGAACUGCCAGUGAUAAGCUGGAGGAAGGUGGGGAUGACGUCAAGUCCUCAUGGCCCUUACGUGUCGGGCUACACACGUGCUACAAUGGCAUCUACAACAGGAAGCAAAACGGCAACGUUAAGCAAAUCCCGAAAAGAUGCCUCAGUUCGGAUUGCACUCUGCAACUCGAGUGCAUGAAGCUGGAAUUACUAGUAAUCGUGGAUCAGCGUGCCACGGUGAAUGCGUUCCCGGGUCUUGUACACACCGCCCGUCACACCAUGGGAGUUGGUUCUACCUUAAGGCAAGGCUUUAAACCCUUGACCACGGUAUAGUCAGCGACUGGGGUGAAGUCGUAACAAGGUAGCCGUAGGGGAACCUGCGGCUGGAUUACCUCCUUUCU
rnacentral:rRNA from 1 species